GGAAUAUUGCACAAUGGGGGAAACCCUGAUGCAGCGACGCCGCGUGAGUGAAGAAGUAUUUCGGUACGUAAAGCUCUAUCAGCAGGGAAGAAAAAAAGUCCUUUGGACUUUGGACGGUACCUGACCAAGAAGCACCGGCUAAAUACGUGCCAGCAGCCGCGGUAAUACGUAUGGUGCAAGCGUUAUCCGGAUUUACUGGGUGUAAAGGGAGCGUAGGCGGUCUGCCAAGUCUGAUGUGAAAACCCGGGGCUCAACCCCGGGAGUGCAUUGGAAACUGGCGGACUGGAGUGUCGGAGAGGUAAGCGGAAUUCCUAGUGUAGCGGUGAAAUGCGUAGAUAUUAGGAGGAACACCAGUGGCGAAGGCGGCUUACUGGACGAUAACUGACGCUGAGGCUCGAAAGCGUGGGGAGCA
rnacentral:rRNA from 1 species